GAGGAUGAUAUGAUAAUCACACUGACGCCCAGUCUUAUGUCCGUGUCGCUUGCGGAUCGAUGGCGACUGUCAUUCCGUUUCUGACUC